rnacentral:rRNA from 1 species
UCCAGACUCCUACGGGAGGCAGCAGUGGGGGAUAUUGCACAAUGGGGGGAACCCUGAUGCAGCGACGCCGCGUGGGUGAAGGAGCGUUUCGGCGCAUAAAGCCCUAUCGGCAGGGAAGAAGGAGGACGGUACCUGACUAAGAAGCCCCGGCUAACUACGUGCCAGCAGCCGCGGUAAUACGUAGGGGGCAAGCGUUAUCCGGAUUUACUGGGUGUAAAGGGGGCGCAGACGGCAGCGCAAGCCAGGAGUGAAAGCCCGGGGCCCAACCCCGGGACUGCUCUUGGAACUGCGCGGCUGGAGUGCAGGAGGGGCAGGCGGAAUUCCUGGUGUAGCGGUGAAAUGCGUAGAUAUCAGGAGGAACACCGGUGGCGAAGGCGGCCUGCUGGACUGCGACUGACGUUGAGGCCCGAAAGCGUGGGGAGCAAACAGGAUUAGAUACCCUCGUA